GCCGGGCGCGGUGGCGCGCGCCUGUAGUCCCAGCUACUCGGGAGGCUGAGGCUGGAGGAUCGCUUGAGCUCAGGAGUUCUGGGCUGCAGUGCGCUAUGCCGAUCGGGUGUCCGCACUAAGUUCGGCAUCAAUAUGGUGACCUCCCGGGAGCGGGGGACCACC
rnacentral:sRNA from 1 species